GUGUACCUUGCAAUGAAAAUCCUAACAGUUCCCAAUUAAAAUUUUCCAAUACACUAUGAUGACUGGAAUCGCCAUAUCUUGCUUCGUGAAGCAAACUAUGAUGGUCGAUUUGACACACGCAUUGCAAGGGGCUAUAUAUGGAGCAUUUCUGGUGUACAAAAUCAAACCAAUGAGAGCUAACCAAUCCUGGGUAAAGCACCUCAACCUUAACAAAAGGUUGGUUUAGUAAAAAAUGAGAAAUGCCCAGUUAACUGUUAGCUUUAAAAGCUAGUUCAUCCGACUUGCAGCCCCACACAAAUAGCCAUCAAGAGCCUACAUGGUCCAAUUUUGCAGAGUUCUCAUGGAAGUAC
rnacentral:misc_RNA from 1 species